rnacentral:lncRNA from 10 species
CUCUCAUCUGAUCAGAAAUUUCUAGGUUCCUAAUAAUAGAAUUGCAUAAUGAAACCCACUUGCAUUUAAAGACAUACAUGGCUAGCGAUAUGUGGCGUGGUACCCUCUCUUGAUGCUGGGCAGUGGCGGUGAGCACAGCUCCCAGUUAGCCAUGCGAUCAUCAGGAUAUGUGUGACUCAGGACACCAUGUUGUCAGAUCUUCACCAUCCUAAGCACAAUGUAACAACCCAUAAUGGCUAAGUAGUGUCCCGGUAACAUGGAGGAAUGAAAAAGUUGUGUAAAUGGCAUCAAGAUUGUCUUAAGAUUAUCAAGCUAAUAGAAGCAAUAAACAUCACCAGUUGUUUUAGGAUUUAUUCUUCAAGGGAGGGUUUGCACUUAAAGGGACAUUAUCUCUUCCAACUAAUACCAAUGAACAAGAGUAAUGAAACAAAGAGGCAUAAUUUCUACCACCAGAAAACUCUUACAUAUGUAGUUUUUAAAAUGUACACUAUGCAGUAAAAGAUACGAAAUCCAAUAUUAGACUAGGUAUGUAAAAUCAGAAAUAUUUUUCUCCAGAGACCCAGAGAACUUGAGGUAGUCAUUGUCCUCAAAGCCCUUUGCACAUCAAGAUAUGCAAGGUCCAACUGCUUCACUUGGAAUUCAAGUCUUCCAAAAUAUAGUCCCAGCUUUAUGUGCUACUAAAGAUCUGCAUUCAACCUUUCAAGGUCCUUAACACUGAUAUGAUUAUGAUGUCUCACCUCUAUCCUCCAUAAAUAUAAAACAGGAUCACAAGCAUAGGCAACAAAAACAACACUAGACAAAUGGGACUAUGUUGAACUAAAUAGCUUCUGCACAGCAUCUACACACAAUCAACAGUGUGAAGAGACAGCCUGGUGAAUUGGAGAAAAUAUUUGCAAACUAUUAAUGUGACAAAGGACUAAUAUCCAGAAUGUACAAGGAACUCAAACAACCCAACAGUUGAAAAAAAACCCAUAUAAUCCCAUUAAAAAGUGAGCAAAGGACAUGAAUAGACAUUUCUCAAAAGAAGACAUACAAAUGGCCAACAGGUACAUGAAAAAAUGCUCAACAUCACUAAUCAUCAGGGAAAUGCAAAUCGAAAUCCACAAUGAGACAUUUUCUUACCCCUGUUAGAAUGGCUACUAUUAAAAAGACAAAAAAAAAAUAGUAACAGAUGCUGGCAAGGAUCUGUUGGUGAGAAUCUAAAUUAGUACAGCCAUUAUGGAAAACAGUACGGAGAUUUCUCAAAAAACUAAAAAUAGAACUACCAUAUGACCCAGCAAUCCCACUAUGGGGUAUUUUUCUAAAGGAAAGGAGUUCAGUACAUCACAGCAUACCUGUGCUCUCAGUUUACGACAGCACUAUUCACAAUAGCAAAGAUAGGGGAUCAACCUAAGUGUCCAUCAAUGGACAAAUGGAUUAAAAAUGUGAUAUAAAUACACAAAUAGAAUACUAUUUGGCCAUAAAAAAGGAAUAAAAUCUUGUCAUUUGUAGCAACAUGAAUGGAACUGGAGGUCAUUAUGUUAAGUGAAAUAAGGCUGUCAGAGAAAGACAAACAUUGCAAGUUCUCACUCAUAUAUGGAAGCUAAAAAAAGUUGAUCUUAUGGAGGUAGAGAGGAGAAUGAUAGAUACCAGAUGCUGCGAAGGUGUGCUGGUGGGGAAGGGGAUUAAGAGAGUGCUUAGUUGGUGGGUACAUACAGUUAGAUAGGAGGAAUAAGUUCUAAUGUUCUAUACCACAGUGGGGUGCUAUAGUCAGUAACAACGUAUUGUCUAGUUCAAAAUAGCUAGAAGAGAGAACUUGACAUGUUCCCAACAUAUAAAAAUGAUAAAUACUUGAGGUGAUGUCUACCCUAAAUACCUUGACUUGAUCAUUCCACAUUCCAUGCAUGUAACAAAAUAUCACAUGUACUCCAUAAAUAUGUACAAAUAUGUGUAUCAAUUGAAAAAAGGAAAAAAAAUAACAUAAAUGUAAGGAAGUCCAACUGUGUUCUGAUUUUGCCCAUAAUGUUUUCUUGAUACGUUUUUAAAACAUCAAAUAAUAAAUUUAUAAACAAAAUAU